rnacentral:rRNA from 1 species
AUGCCUUUAAAUCUAUACAACUUUCAGCAACGGAUCUCUUGGCUCUCGCAUCGAUGAAGAACGCAGCGAAAUGCGAUAAGUAAUGUGAAUUGCAGAAUUCAGUGAAUCAUCGAAUCUUUGAACGCACCUUGCGCCCUUUGGUAUUCCGAAGGGCAUGCCUGUUUGAGUGUCAUUAAAUUCUCAA